rnacentral:rRNA from 1 species
UACGUAGGGGGCGAGCGUUGUCCGGAUUUAUUGGGCGUAAAGAGCGUGUAGGCGGCCAUGUAGGUCCGGUGUGAAAACUCGAGGCUUAACCUCGAGAUGUCAUCGGAAACCAUUUGGCUAGAGUCCGGAAGAGGAGAGUGGAAUUCCUGGUGUAGCGGUGAAAUGCGCAGAUAUCAGGAAGAACACCAAUGGCGAAAGCAGCGCUCUGGGACGGUACUGACGCUGAGACGCGAAAGCGUGGGGAGCGAACAGG